rnacentral:rRNA from 1 species
UACGGAGGGUGCGAGCGUUGUCCGGAAUCACUGGGCGUAAAGGGCGCGUAGGCGGCCUGAUAAGUAGGGGGUGAAAUCCUGCGGCUUAACCGCAGGGCUGCCUUCUAAACUGUCAGGCUAGAGCACAGUAGAGGCAGGUGGAAUUCCCGGUGUAGCGGUGGAAUGCGUAGAGAUCGGGAAGAACAUCAGUGGCGAAGGCGGCCCGCUGGGCAGUGGCUGACGCUGAGGCGCGACAGCGUGGGGAGCAAACAGG